CCCAGCUGUAGGUAACUGCCUAGGUUGCAUUAUACCUAGACAGUGUUAUACUGCUGAGAGAAAAGCAGCUAAUAGCCGGCAGGUAUUCUGGACCUGGUUAAUGCCAAAUU
rnacentral:snoRNA from 1 species